GGCAGCGAAUAGCUGCGUCCUCGCCAGCGCCUCCCCAUAAUUUACGGCCCAAAAAGGUGGAAGAAAUAACACUCGUCCCCCAGAAAAACUGAGAUUUAUUUAUCAGUGAGAGAGCAGUUAAGAACUUCCCCCCUCUUUAUUUGAUUUGGUAGAAUCCCAGCCUUACCAUUUCUGACAUGUGUGAGGGGGGAACUCUCCCCAGAUAAGAACUCUAAAUGUCUCCCCCAUAUUUCACCGAGUUCUGAUUAUUCAUAGGCUAUACUAGAGUUAACUUGAAUCUCUUUAGACAUGAAGAGGCGUUCAGUGGAUAAUUUAAAGUUGUCGUAUUCCAGGCUCCUCGCCGCUUGCAAAGGGCAAUGGUUCCAGAAGCAGUGCUGGAAGAUAUCUGUUCAACACCUUGGACACUGGCCUAUGGGAUCCCACAGUCUUCCAUCUUUGCUCCUGGGUUCUUUAAUAUCUACAUGAGGUAUGGAGAGCUUACACUCCCAUUUUGCAAGCUUGAGUCCUGAAGACAGUAAUGGACUGGAUCGGGUAAACAAACUGAAUAUUAAUUCAGACAAGACAAAUGUUAGUAGAGCUAACCUUGGAACCAGUGUUGGGUGGGAAUAACACUCCCCUUGAAAAUGCAGAUUUGUUGCGUGGGGAUUUUUCUGAACUUGGAUAUUUAGGUAUCUACUGUGGCCAUCUAUUGUAUUUAUUGUUAGCAAAUUCUUUUUAAAAUUGUGCUUAUUAUUUCAACAUACCUUGCUAGCUGCCAUGGGCUCACUGAGGAAAGGUGGAGUAUUAAUGUUUUAAAUACAGUACAUAAUAAAUAGCAGCAUUCUUACUGUUCUUUCUUUUUCUGCUAGGGAAUGAAACCUUUAGAAAUUUAACCCAUAAGCUGAAUGGGGAUGUUCUUAUUUUGACCAGUCAAAGCACUUCCCAGUAAGCACUUGUGAAAUUGUCCUAAUACACUCAGGAUCUUUGCACUGUCAAGAACAAGCAAAUCAAAUGAGAG